rnacentral:rRNA from 1 species
AGAGUUUGAUCCUGGCUCAGAUUGAACGCUGGCGGCAUGCCUUACACAUGCAAGUCGAACGGCAGCACGGGAGCAAUCCUGGUGGCGAGUGGCGAACGGGUGAGUAAAGUAUCGGAACGUGCCCAGUCGUGGGGGAUAACGUAGCGAAAGUUACGCUAAUACCGCAUACGUCCUGAGGGAGAAAGCGGGGGCUCGCAAGACCUCGCGCGAUUGGAGUGGCCGAUAUCUGAUUAGCUAGAUGGUGAGGUAAAAGCUCACCAUGGCGACGAUCAGUAGCUGGUCUGAGAGGAUGAUCAGCCACACUGGGACUGAGACACGGCCCAGACUCCUACGGGAGGCAGCAGUGGGGAAUUUUGGACAAUGGGCGAAAGCCUGAUCCAGCCAUUCCGCGUGAGUGAAGAAGGCCUUCGGGUUGUAAAGCUCUUUCGGCAGGAACGAAA